rnacentral:rRNA from 1 species
AGAUCAUCAGAGGGAGGUAGAAUUUCAGGUGUAGUGGUGAAAUGCGUAGAUAUCUGAAGGAAUACCAAUGGCGAAAGCAGCCUCCUGGGGUGAAUCUGACAUUGAGGGACGAAAGCGUGGGUAGCAAACCGGAUUAGAUACCCGGGUAGUCCAUGCCGUAAACGAUGAAUACUGGGUCUUCGGGGAAUCGACCCCCUGUGGACCGAAGCUAACGCGUUAAGUAUUCCGCCUGGGGAGUACGGUCGCAAGACUAAAACUCAAAGGAAUUGACGGGGGCCCGCACAAGCAGCGGAGCGUGUGGUUUAAUUCGAUGGUAAACGAAGAACCUUACCUAGGUUUGACAUAUAAGUAGUACUGACCCGAAAGGUGAUGGACCCGCAAGGGAGCUUAUACAGGUGCUGCAUGGUUGUCGUCAGCUCGUGCCGUGAGGUGUUGGGUUAAGUCCCGCAACGAGCGCAACCCUCGUGGAUAGUUGUUUUCUUUAUCCAGACUGCUUUUACAAGAGGAAGGUGGGGAUGACGUCAAAUCAUCAUGGCUCUUACACCUAGGGCUACACACACGCUACAAUGGACAGUACAGACGGUUGCUAAGUCGCAAGAUGGAGCCAAUCCGAUAAAGCUGUCCCCAAUUGGGAUUGUAGGCUGAAACUCGCCUGCAUGAACCUGGAGUUGCUAGUAACCGCAGAUCAGAACGCUGCGGUGAAUACGUUCCCGGGCCUUGUACACACCGCCCGUCACGUCAUGGAAGUUUGAAACACUUGAAGUCGCUGGGCUUACCUUUUAGGAGGCAGGCGCCGAGAGUGGGGCAAAUGACUGGGACGAAGUCGUAACAAGGUAGCUGUACCGGAAGGUGC